CAGGGAAUAUUAGAAAUGGACGAAAGUCUGAUCUAGCAACACCGCGUGUGCGAAGAAGGCCUUCGGGUUGUAAAGCACUUUUUGGAAGGAUUAGGAAGGAAUGUACUUCCAGAAUAAGUCUCGGCUAACUACGUGCCAGCAGCCGCGGUAACACGUAGGAGGCAAACGUUAUCCGGAUUUACUGGGCGUAAAGCGCGUGUAGGUGGUUCUGUAAGUAGGGCGUGAAAGCUCCUGGCUCAACUGGGAGAGGCCGUUCUAAACUGCAGAGCUAGAGGAUGGUAGAGGGAGGUGGAAUUCCGGGUGUAGCGGUGGAAUGCGCAGACAUCCGGAGGAACACCAGUGGCGAAAGCGGCCUCCUGGACCAUUCCUGACACUAAGACGCGAAAGCUAGGGUAGCAAACGG
rnacentral:rRNA from 1 species